CCCAACCCAGGGAUCAAACCCAGGUCUCCCACACUGCAGGCAGAUUCUUUACCAGCUGAGCCACCAGGGAAGCCCUCCAAGGGAGAAUACAAAUACUUGCCUAUCAUGGAAAAUAGCAAAGUGGGAGGAAAUCUAAGGGGGAAAAAUCUAGCCCAAUAUUCCUUUCAAGGGACUUUCUUAGCCACAGAAACUUUUAUUCACACAAAAUCUCACAUAAGGGAGUUCAAUGAAUAUCAAAAAAGCAGAGUUAAACUGCACAUCUCUUCUCAUGACAUUCCCCACUUGACAGCCUGUGCAACCUGUGAGGACUCACUAGGGUCUUCAGAGUCCAGAUUGGCAUCUCCUAAGCUAGUCGUCCAGCCUCAGAGACAGAGUCUGUUAUUUAUUCACUUAUCCAUCCAUCCAUCCCUUCAUUUCCUUCUGUUCUCUCUCCUUCCCUCUCUUUCUUCAAACAUUUUUUUAGCUCCAACUGCAAGUCAAGAACUAACAUAAAGAUAAGUAGGACCUGCCGGAAGGACGCCUAGGUGUCUAAAUGGGGAGACAGAUUUGUAAACAAACGCUUGCAGCAACUUGGCAGUUAUCUUUAGAGCUCCGGGGCGGUGCAGGGAACAGCAAGGUUACCAAGAAAGGAGAGGGCAGUUGGCUUUCCAGUCAGUGCCCAAAAUAAGUUGCCUGAAUUCCCUAGCCGCUGAGAUUGUUCCCUACCCUGCUGCCGCUAAAGGAAUAAAAGAGGAAGCUUUUCUGUUAAGAGCCUCCACCCCCACCCCCAGGCCUCCAAGCUCAGCCAUCACCCCCAGCGGUGCUGAGAGCCCCGAGCAGGCGCUGGGCGGUGAAGGGGGAACGGGGAGGGGUUUGCAGGGCCGGGAAAUCCCACAGCUGCUGCUGCUGCACAAUGGGCAGAGCCAGCGCGUGCACCCUGGUUCUUUUGUCCCAGGCUACUGGGGAGUUCGGAAAGCCAUUGUGCCCUGAGAUCUUUGAAUGACCUGGUCACUCAUGAGUAAACCUUAGAGAAACUUGGGCUUUCUUUCCCCAGAAAUGAAUCGAGCCCGUUAGUUAGUAGAGGAAGGGGCCCUCCACCCACUCCAGAGCUUUCAAACUGAUCCCUUGUCUAUACUUGAACCUUAAGGCAUUUUUCUUUUCUUUUCUUUUGAUAGGAAAACAGAAAAGAGAAGGAGUCCUUUUUUCCACUGCUCUGGGAACAAGCCUUGUUCUGCCUUCUUUCUAGAAGAGACAGACAGGUUACCCUCUCAUCGUUAUAAUUUUAUCUCCUUCUCUAGCUGGGUGAGGCCGAUGCUCACUGACACCCUACUGUCAGUGAGAAAGACCUUUCCCACUGCCUUUCCUUUGGGGUAGGAUUUUGGCCAUAAGAAUGAAAACAUCUACAGAAAAGAAGGAAGGUCUGGGCUGGAGUAGUCACAAAGGGCUUUAUUCCAGGGUUAAGACUUGAGUUAGGUCUCAGGGAUGAGUAGGGUUUAGUCAGAGGAUGGGGGCUGGGCUCUCCAUGGACCAUGUGAGCCAAAGCAUGGAGGGGGUGAUGAGGAAAGCAAAGACCCACCACCAGGUGGGUCUGGAACAGCUCAUCUCUGGAACAGAGAUGAGCUUAGAUCAUGGCUCGGCCCCACUGAAAAGCCUCCAGGAGCUCCCUAAGCCACAGGGCCCAUAGCUGGACCCCAGAGCCCUCCAUGACCGGGAUCCGCCUGCCUCGUGCCUGCCCAGGCCUAUGGGCCAAUCUCCACCUCCACUCCGCCCUGCAGUCCCACUGAAGAGAGCUGCACUGGCCGCCUCCCGGGCCUCUGCCUCUUUGUAAAUGCUGACUCUUCUCACUGGGGCCUUCUCCCCUCCUUUGCCCAUCAGCAGAACUUCUGCUUGAUCUCAGCUAGAUGUGACCUUUGCAAAGCCCACCUGUCCACUCCCUUUAUAACCCCAAGCAGUUAACCCCCUUCUCCUUACUGUAGCCCACCAGGCUCCUCUGUCCAUGGAGUUCUCCAGGCAGGAAUACUGGACAGGAUUCCCAUUUCCUUCUCCAGGGGAUCUUCCCAACCCAGGGAUCGAACCCCCGUCUCCUGUGUUGCAGGUGGACUCGCUCCUGUCUGAGCCAGCAGGGACGUCCCCUUACACUCCCAGCUCCUCUUUACUUGAAUUUGUUUCUCUGUCAGACUGUUGUGUCUGUACAUCCUUGCCCCUAAUCCAACCUCCCAUUCUCCAUCCCAUACCCUUCCGCUCGGAUUUCAGGAAUAAUGAAUUUCACUUAUAUCUUCAAUCCCCUCCAGCCCAUUCUCUCCAGCUCCAUCUAGUAACAGACCUACCGCCAGCCUGAGCUGACUGCUUCUCCCAAAGCCUUCUCACGUUCCUUUCGGACUCCUCAAGGUUCCAAGUCAGGCCAAAGGGAAAACAACAGAGCAAUGAGACUCAGUGGGAAGAACUUGGCUCCUGUCUCCCGCAUAGGUGUGGCAGCUAAUUUUCUCUCUGUUAUAAACUUAACCCAUGCCAGGACUCUUGCCAGGGUUUUCCACUAGGGACAAUGAGAGGCCUUCCUACAAGGCUGUGUCAUGGUUAGCACCAUCAUUGUUCUGUGGCUCAUGCAGUAUUUGUAUUUUAAGGCAAUAACACUAAUAAAUAAUUAUAUUAAAUAG